CCGUGCUCCUCUCUGGUUUACGGCCAUAUCACUAGGCGACCCGGUCCCCAACCAAUCAUAUCUCAAUGACGUCUCACUACAGAGUGUUCGACCAAUAACAAAAGUUCCUAAAAGUUCCAGCGGUGACGUCAAUAAUUGCUGUAGCUCCGCCUUUCAGGCGAUUAGCUAAACUGUCAAUCACUCUUUGCGUAACGCCCACAUUGGGUUCUGUUCGGCGGAGGGAUAUUGUUGUAAGCCCGCCCACUUGUGACGAUAGGAUACGCCCAGCAGCGGGGCCCCGCCUCUCCCUGGUGAAGUGGCCAAUCCUGAGUGUAACCGUUAGUGUCGGUUGGAGUGUCGGUGCGGUGAAGAGCAGCGGUGGUCUCCCGGGAGCCCCGAAAAUCUAUCCACAAUGGGAGAAAUAGAAGGCACGUACCGUGUAAUACAGACUCCAGGGGCCCGUCUAGGUGCCCAAAGAACCACUGGAAUCAGUACACUAGAGCCAGGACAGACCCUCAGCAUGGCUCUCUCCUCUUCACCUACCAAGGCCACAAAGCAGGAUUUAUGCUCAUCUGUAUUACUUCUGGAUGAUACCUUGCUUCCCGUCGAAGUAGGGCCAAAGACCACGGGCCAGGCACUGCUGAGCCAAGUGUUCACUCAUCUGAAUGUGGUGGAGACAGACUAUUUUGGCAUCGAGUUCCAGACAGCACAGUCUCAAUGGGUGUGGUUGGAGCCGCUAAAAUUCGUGAACAAGCAGCUGCGCAAACCAAAAAAUGCCAAAAUGCGUCUGGCAGUAAAGUUUUUCCCACCUGACCCGGGUCAGCUGCAAGAAGAGUAUACCAGGUACCUUUUUGCCAUGCAGAUAAAGAGAGACCUUGCAGAGGAGAGACUGGUGUGCAGUGAUAAUACAACCGCACUUCUUAUAUCUCUGCUAUUGCAAUCUGAGGUUGGGGAUUAUGAUCAGAAGGUGGACCAGGAGAAUCUGAGAAGCGCCCAUUACGUGCCCCGCCAGUAUAGUCUUGAGGAGCGUAUUUUAGAUUGUCACCGACAGCACCUUGGUAUGUCUCCUGCAGACGCAGAUUUUCAGAUCCUGGAGAUUUCUAGACGGCUUGAGUUGUAUGGAACCCGUUUUCAUCUCGCAUCUGAUCGUGAAGGUGCCAAAAUUAAUUUGUCGGUGUCUCACAUGGGAGUGUUGGUUUUUCAGGGCAACACAAAAAUCAACACAUUCAACUGGUCAAAAAUCCGCAAGCUAAGCUUUAAAAGAAGGCGCUUCCUUAUAAAGUUGCACCCAGAAGUUCAUGGCCCUUACCAGGAUGCUCUGGAAUUUCUCCUACCAAGUCGUGAUAUGUGUAAGAGGUUUUGGAAGAUCUGUGUAGAGUAUCACAGCUUCUUCCGUCUCCAGGACCAACCAAAGCCCAAAUCCAGGACAGUUCUUCUGAGCCGUGGAUCUUCUUUUCGUUACAGUGGUCGAACACAAAAACAACUUAUAGAGUAUGUACGAGACACCAGCGUCAAGAGACCACCAUAUGAAAGGAGACACAGCAAACCCAGAGUGUCCCCUUGCACUGUGAUCCCUGACUCUCCAAAGCAGAUCCUCCCUUUCACUGAGAGUGUAAAGAAUCCUACAUCACCUUCCUCCCUUAUCCUGUCCCCUCAAUCUUUUUUCAACUCCUCCGACUCACCCUUGUACAAAAGCGCAACCAGCAACGAGAAAAUCUCGACUUUUCAUCGGCUAGAUGAACCUGUAAGAGGAGCUCCGGAGAAUAUGGGAUCUUCAGUUCACUCACCAUUACAAGGUUGUCACUUGUCUCCUGUAACGCUAAGGCUGCCCUCCUCUACUUCCCCGCCUGGCCGCUCUCCAUUGAUGAGCCCAGCAUUGAGUGACAGUGGUAGUGCCAGGGCUGAUGAUAUGGAGGAAAUGCCCGACAGCAAGAUGGAUGAAGCCUUUUAUAUCACCAAGGAAAUUCUCAGCACAGAGACGUCUCAUUUGAAGGAUAUUGAGGUCAUAACGGUGUGGCUGGAGAAAGCGCUCAGUAAGGGUGGCGAUCUACAGGAAACAGCUGAGCACCAGAUGAAGCCUCUGUUUUCUUGCAUGGAGCCCAUACGGCUUUUUCAUCAAGAAUUUCUGCAGCAACUUGAGGAUGUCCUAAGUCUUUGGGAAGGGCGAUCUGCACGUACAAAAGACAUGCAAAUUCUUGGAGACUUCAUGCUUCGGAAUAUGACUGCCUUAAGGGCCCUCCUCCCAUCACUGCAUAAACUGGAGGAAGUAUUUUUGGAAAUGCAGAGAAGGUGUCCAGGGAAGCAGGAGCUGGAUACUUUACUGCAGGAGUUUGAACAGCAGCGCAUAUGCUACCUGCCUCUCAGCUGCCUUCUGUUGAAGCCUCUGCAGCGCCCCCUGCAGUAUGAGAAGUUGUUGGAGAGAUUGUGCCGCCACUAUCCGCCUUCACAUCAUGACUAUAACAACUGCCAAAGAGCCUUAGGAGAAGCCAGUGCAGUGAGUUCUCGGCUCCGGCACCGUUUGCUGCACCUACAGAACUUGCAGAGACUGGACCAGCUGGAGCGAGACCUGAUGGGAGGAGAACAUCUUUGUUCACCGGGGCGGGAGUUUAUUCGAGAGGGAUGCCUAUACAAGCUAACCAAGAGCGGUCUGCAGCAGCGCAUGUUCUAUCUAUUCUCAGAUAUGCUGCUUUACACACGGAAAGGCCUGAGCUGCACCAACCAAUUUCGGGUUCAUGGAAGGCUUCCACUACAUGCAUGUCACAGUUCAUCCUUCAUCUCUGUCUGUCUGUAUGGUCACUGUCUACAGGCGGAGGACAGUCACAGCUCUGUCCCACACUGCUUCACUAUCUACUCUGCACAGACAACUAUAGGAGUGGCUGCCAGCUCCCAGGUGGACAUGAGGCGCUGGUUGGACGAUCUGAAUGCGGCCAUUAGUCGGGCUCCGAGAUACAGUGAGCUUUCUGCCCUAUCGCUACUGCAACCAGUUCUCCAGGUUCCUGGACAGAUCCAUCAUCCGAACACACUCAGCCAUGUUUGCUGGUAUCGAAACCAGAGUGUGUCGCUGACUGAUCACAUCACUAUGAUGGAGAAUCAGCUCUCUGGUUACCUGCUACGCAAGUUUAAAAACAGCAAUGGCUGGCAGCGGCUGUGGGUGAUCUUCACCAAUUUCUGCCUUUUCUUUUAUAAAACGCAUCAGGAAGACGCUCCACUCGCCUCAUUGCCGCUGCUGGGAUACACAGUUAGCAUCCCGUCCUUCUCUGAUCCCGUCACCUGUCGCCAUGUUUUCAAACUGAAUUUCAAAUCCCAUGUGUACUUCUUCAGAGCUGACAGCGAUUAUACAUGGAGGAGGUGGAUGGAAGUGAUCAGGCGUGGUGUGAGCUCUCCGGGGAAGAUCGGACACUUAGCGGAGGAUGGGGUCCUUGUGGAUUGACCUCUUGACAAGGGUGUAAUGAGAAUCAUUCGAUGUAAUUGCCCCAUUAUGCCUAGAUCAGAACUUGGCUUUUCAUGGAGACAUCACACAAUGGCACACGGAAUGCCUACACCGGUGGCGCUAUCACUACUGUAAAUUACACAUUUGGAACAUAUUAUUCAGCAAGUAUGAAGGAUAGCUUUUGUGAAGUUAAUAAAGCCUCACUUCAUUUCUAGAACUCUGCAUUGUAAGAAAAGGCUGUGACACUUA